rnacentral:lncRNA from 1 species
CAUCUGUCUGGUGGUGUUAAAGCCACCAAGAAAGGUUGCCCUGAUAACUCAAGCCUAAGAACUAACUCUUGAAACUCCUCAUUUUGUAAUGUAAUCUGGCUUCUAAAUGCACAAAACACCACAAAACUUGGCUCAAAGUUGCUUAGCCAAUUAGCCCAUUUGUCUUCAAGCUGUGUGGCAUUUGUUUCAGGGAGGCAAGGCCCUGUUAGCAUAACAGGCUUUCCAAAAUGUUAAGCAACAUAGUCACAGAAAGGUCCCUCAAUUUCACGCUGAGCCCUAUAGGCUAUGGCAUCACUGCCAUUCAUGUCCGAUCCUGAAAUGACAAUCCUAUUCCAAAGAUUUUUUGCACAAUUUUCAGAAUGAAAACCUCUUCAGCUUUGAGUUUCACCUUGGAAGAAGGAUAACCAAGAGGAGCUUCUAUCAACUUUUCUAUAGUCAUUUUCGUUGCAACUUUCUUUGUCGACAUAUGCGCAUUUGCGGCUGCAGUCAUUGCGGCAUAGUAAAUUGACUUGAUGCCGAUUUGGUGAGCCAAGGCUGGAAUCUAAUACCUCAAAUCAUGGAAAACUAUAUCAGGCUUUAUAUCCCUUAUAAUGGCUUCAACUUGAUCCAGUUUGUCCUCGCUUAGGUUGUGGCAAGACGACAAUUUGUUUCACAUGAGGGGGGAUGUCCCACUCACUAGGAUGCCCUACUGGGUGAAUAGACCCCGCAUAACCCUCCACCAAAAUAGUUAUUUUGUAGUAGUCAGCGCAGAAUUCAAUGGUUUCACGUUUGCAUUUACUGAAAAAUUCAAUGAACUCAAUAUUCAAGCACAAUGUAAAUACUAUGUCAAUUAAGGUUCAAAUAAGAAAUAAAGAUAUUCUGACCUUAUUGUUGCAAUGGCAUGGCUGCAUGGUAGUAAAUCUGUUUGGAACUCACAACAUGAACACGUCUUCCUAGACAGGUUUACAAGUCCGUCCAUCUUCCCAUCUUUAACUUCGAACUCCAUUCGAUUGAUAGGUUUAACCACAAAGCAAUGUGCAUCAUUGAACCGUUUGCUCAACUGCUUGGCAACCCAAGGGUUGAGAGGCGUGGUCACCUUGACGGCUUCCUCGUACCAGUCAUGGAACCAACGCUAGAACAUGUCUCUGAUGAACUCGAACAAAAUAGUUGUUAGCAUUUAUCUUGCAUGCUUCAAGCAUGAGUUAACACAUUCCGCAAUGUUGGAUGUCAUCAUUUGGUAUCGCCUUGCUGGUGAACAGGCAUGUGCCCAUCUCUCAGGGCCUAUUUUCAUAAGGUCUGCGUGGGCUCCCGCGUGAAUCUGCUUAAGCUGGUUCAUAUGUUUGUUGAAAUUGAAAACCUUAUAGCAAUCUCGAGCAAGGGUAAAAAUCAUAGAAAUGUCGUCGCGCUUGAACUUGUUUUUAAAGUUUUUCUUCAAGUGGUACCCGCAUAAACCGUGGUGUGCUUCUAGGUAUACAUUUUGGAUUGCUUUCUUAAUGUCGAGAUGUUGAUAAGAAAUGAACAUAGUGUUUUCAAGACAAACAACCGCAUCACGCAGCUUGCUAAGAAACCACAUCCACGAGUCUUCGUCCUCAACAUGGCCAAUGCCAAAUGCAACUAGAUAUAUGCACUUGUUCGCAUCUUUGCAUACAGCAACAAACAGAACACCCUUGAACCUACCUUUUAGAUGUGUCGUAUCAAUUGCAACCAUAGGACGCAUUACAUCCCUAAACCCCUGAAUACAAGCCCCGUAUGCCCAGAAAUAAUAUUUGAAUAUUUCUGCCUCAUCAGUAACUGUGUCGGGAUUUUCUUGUUCUAGCAUAUAAAAAUACGAGGGUAGUAGUUGAAAUGACUCCUCUGGGGGAUCGAAAAUAAGCCUCUUCGCAUACUCCUUCGCUUGCUCGGCCUUACCAUACAAGCAUUCCAAUCCCCACUGAACCUUUAUCUCACUAAUUAUGUCCUUAGGUCUCAAUGCUACUCCAUUAGCCUGAAGCUUGUUUGACAUAAGUUGACCAAUUAUCUUCGCACUUAUGGUUGCAAAUCGCCCUUGCAAACCAUCGACAGUACACGUGUGUACUUUGUGAAAAGUCCAAACUUUCCAAUAUUCUCCUCCUUCAGGUAACUUCAUUGCAUGCACACUGAACUUGCAUGCCUUGUCCUUGCAACCAACCUCAUAACGAGCUUUACAUGACCUUUUUACUCUUAUCCCAAACUGUUAUUUCAGAGCCAACAUGUGUAAAGCUCGUUUCAACUCGGCUUUUAAGGAAAAUAUCCUUCCUUUGUAUAAGCGAUCAUCGGCACAUGUCGACUCCUCAGUUGUAAUUGUUUGGAAGGAGAACCUUUCUGCACCUGAAAUUACCCACGUACGAGAUAUCCCUGCAUUUUCUCUAUCCUAAUAACUGUCAUGGAGCAAUGUACCAGGGGAAUGAAUCCCGUUCGCAUCAGCGAUGGGGUUAUUGUAUAUGGGGUCAUCACACUGAACAUCUCCUACAUCAACACCUCCAAUAGGUUCUGUUUCGCCUUCAACAUUACUGCAAAUUGGAAUAUCAUUGUCAUAAAGCCAGUCAUCGUCUGAACUCUCAUCAUACCAUUCAUCAGGCCCAUCAUUUGAAUUGUCAUCAAAUCUAUCUUCACUGGUAGGGAACAAAUCCUCAUUUCCCUCAUCAGAUGUAGUAUUAUCCUCGAGCAUCGCAGUGUCACCCUCCAACGUCGUAGUGUUGUCCUCAAGUGUUGCAUUCUCAUUUGAAAAUGCCAUUACAACCUGUACAGUUUCACCCGAUCAUUGCAUUUGUUGGACAGAAGUAACUAAUUGGUUCGAUGCACAUCUUGAUCAAAAUUGUGUAACCAACUAUUCUAUGAAUGUCGUGUGUCUACCGAGCUACACAAAUUCUUGUGCAUAUGUCAAUUGCCAUUGUUGUGGGUUACGAACCGAAUGUUGUGGUAUAUGUGAAGCAUUGUAAAUUUCAUUUUGAUUGAGUUGAUUACCAUGUUGUUCAGCUUCUUCACGUGACAUAACAUUUGUUUGGAGUCCCUUAAUGCUGACAUACACAGCCGGAACAUUCCUCUGUUCUAGCAGAAUUAAUGCAAUAUCCUCAUCGUCCUUGGUAAUUGGCCGUAAUAGCUCUUCUGGUGUACUGAUCAAUGCAUGUAACUCAAUCUCGUCAAUUUCUGAGUUUACCCCAACAACAUCUUCAACCAGCUUCAUCAAUCCCACAAACGACAAAUCACUCUUAACCCCCUGCAUUCGUGACUCACCACCCUUGUAAAUGCCAUCCACCCACUGAUCAUUGUGUCUUAUCACAAGUCACAUAAUUAGAACCCCAUUGAAAUUUUGAAAACAACAAUAAUUUAUUAAUCAUUUAACACAUUACAUGACAUGCCGUGUUCUAAAAUUUGUCAGUCAUGUUGUAACACGCCAUGCAUAUAAUGUAAAAUGUUGAACACGUCAUGCAUAUAACGUAAAAUGUUGUAACACGCCAUGCAUAUAACGUAAAAUGUUGUAACACGCCAACGCCGACACACCAAUCACUAUAAUUAUUGUGUCCUUACACGAACUGGCCUAAAAUACCCAUGACGUGUGACACACCAAUUAGUGUAAUUACUGACUUGUUGCACGAAUUGCCCUUAAAUAACCAAUGUUGUGACACGCUAAAAUAACGCUAACACAUGUUAUAGAUGCAUGGUGUGUAACAACUCUGGGCAAUGUUUCUAAUCUAUGUUCUAAUUUACAGCAAAUGUUUCAAAUUUAAGUGUUGCAGCAAUAAACCCAAUAACAUACCUUAAUGUCAUCUAUGCUAUAGGGUCUGUUAAUCGAUGACAAUAUGACUAGAUGCUGAGAGAUAGACAACAGCCCGAUGACGAUGGUGCUCAAUAGAGAGUUGACAAAGCUCAAAUAGUUCAGAGAGUUGAUGACGAUGGUGUUCACUAGAGAGUUGACGGAGUUGAGACAGUUCAGAGAGCUGAGAGAGAAAGAUGAGCGAGCUCAAACAGCUGAGCAUUUAUUUCUAUUUUCUUUGUGGUAGGAGGGAGAUAUCUGGAGCUUAAUUUCAAACGAUGUUUUUAAAGACAUUUUGGUCUACUCAUACUUUUUUUUAGCUAGAAACAGAUAACUUUAUAUGGGUGGUUUUUUUUGAAAUCACCUUAUCAGGAGGUCCAUUUUGCAUAAUUUCCUCUUAAUCUUAUUAAUUAAAAAUUGUUAGAUGAAUAUUAAGUUUGGUGAAGAACGUAUGCCAAAUCUGAGGCAUUAGCCACAGUGUCCAAGGAUUUGCAAAACAUGGGGUGCUUUAACCAAAUAAAAAGUAAUAAAUUACAUAAAAUGGUUUAUGGUGGCAGAAUCAACGGAAGAAGCACUCCCCAGGUGUCUUAUGACUAAUCUGUUUACUAUAACUAAGUUGAUGUUUUGUAGGGUAUCUUGUACCUGGACCUGCAGAUAUCUAACAGACAGUCAACCAUUUAUUUGUUGGCUCCGUAAUUAUCAAACAAUUAUACAGACCCUCAUUAUGCACUCUCAUGCUGUAAUAUUAACUUUCAGUUAUAAUGUGCUUUUCCACUAUUUUUUUCUUUUUCUUAUUUUUUUAAAAUUUUUGCUGUAAUAAUAUGUUGAAUUUGUCACAUUUUUGGUUAUCUACAGGAUCAGAGUGUUGUGUUUCAUUCAUUACGUUGACUUAUAGCAACUUCAUGUGUGUUUAAAGUAAUUUACUAUCAAGGUAAUUUGUGGGAUGCUUGACUCUUGAUCAUAUUCAGAUUUUACUGAUUUACUAUCGAGGUAAUUGUUAUCACUCACCAAUUAUUUACGGACCCACUAACAUUAUUUAUAUAUUUUUGUCAUGGAGCAAGUAAUAAUUGAUUUCUGUAAAAGUGGGUUCUUGUGAUAGGGAGAGAAAGCGUUGCAAAUAAGUAAAAUGAUGUGCCAGAGGUGGCAGAGAGGAAGAUUGAAGCAGUUCCUGAAGUACUAAGUGCUAUGGCAAAUGGAAGACAAUAAGAAGAGACUUAAAGAGACUUAGAGAGUACAAGAUAAUUAGAGAGAGAAUUUAGAGAGAGAAGCUCUCAAGUUGAGAAUGUGUUAGCUUGGAAGGGGAGAAAAGAGUCCUCCCAAAUGAAUUGUGAGGCUCUAUAUAUAGUGCUAAAAGUGACGGUUACAUAAGAAUAGGCUUUAAUGUGCCUAAUGAAUGACAUUAUUAUGAAAAAUAUUAAUGUAAGUAACCGUUACUGUAAUUGGAUGUAGUAAGACUUGUUCUUAAGUAAAGGUAAUAGAAAAGAGGUGUACAAGAAUAGGUACAAGAGAAUAAGCUGUACGAGAAUAGGUAUAAGAGAAUAAGCUGUACAUGAAUAAGUAUACGAGAACAAGGUAAGAGGGUGAAAAACUUGUACUUCAGGAAAUGGUUAAGAGAAAGACCUCUUAACUACCUCCAUAUCUGAGCCACCAAGCCAAACUCUCUGGAACAUCCUAAGAUGAAAGUAACCCAUGAACCCUGCCACUUAUUCUGAGCUACUUUCACUGUCAUCCAAGUGAAGCGGUUAUUCUAUUCAAAGUGACUGUUCUACUUGUAUUAGUUGUUCCAUAUGAAGUAAUACUUUACUUUUUCUAAUUGUUCUACUUUAAGUAGUACUUGAAGUAGCGCUUCACUUGUUUUAGUUAUUCUGCGUGAAGUAACACUUCACUUGUUCUGAUUGUUCUCUAUACAACAUUAUGUUGUAACAUAAUUCUUUAGAGUAACAGUAUUAACCAAAAUCUAGUAUCUACAAUUUCAUUCACUUUUGACUUUUGAGACAUUUGGCUGAGGGAUUUAUAAGAAAAAAGACAAUAUGAUGAAGUAGAUAUAAUUUGUUUUCAUCCCCUACUGCUAUUCAAAUCAUUUAGACAUUAAUAAAUACAGAAAACUUUCUAAAGCCAAUACAUUAGAGGUUAAGAAUAUUGAAGGAAACUAACAAUGAACUUAUUGCAUUAUAUCAGAUUGGAAUCUAAUAGACAUUAAGAAACCUCACCACUAAAACAGGUUUACUAAACUCGGACUCUAAAUUGGAUUCUUCUUCUUCUUUUGCAAUUUGGAUCUUAUUUGACCAGAUCUUGCAGACCUUCGAUGAAGUUAUUGAUAUAUUCUUCUUGAAGAUCUCUGUUAGAAAGAAUGUUCUUGAGCUUGGCAUGGUUUCUCUUCAACAGACUAGCUGUUUCAUUGUCCUUGUCCAUCACCAACUUGAUGGCUUUGCUCAAGUUCUCCUUGGAAAUCUCCCUGUUUUCUCCUUUCUCAACUUCAACUGCAACCUCGAGUUCCUCUACCAUUAAUCUGGUGUUCAGAAUUUGAUCUCCUAAGCGGGGAAUCAACACAAUUUGGCAGUUACAUAGCAAAGAUUCCCACAUGGUUCCACAACCACAGUGAUUCACAAAACACCCAACAGAUGGAUGGCUGAGUAACAGCUCCUGGGGAACCCAGCCACCAUACACCAACCCUCGUCCUUGGAUCCUUUCUUGAAACCCCUCAGGCAAUGCCUCUUCAAUCCUUGUGCAUCCGUUUGGUGGUGUUAAAGCCACCAAGAAAGGUUGCCCUGAUAACUCAAGCCCAAGAACUAACUCUUGAAACUCCUCCUUUUGCAAUGUAAUCUGGCUUCCAAAUGCACAAAACACCACAGAACUUGGCUCAAAGUUGCUUAGCCAAUUAGCCGAGCUGUGUGGGAUUUGUUUCAGGGAGGCAAGGCCCUGUUAGCAUAACAGGCUUGCCAAAAUGUUGAGCAACAUAGUCACAGAAAGGUCCCUCAAUUUCACGGUGAGCCCUAUAGGCUAUGGCAUCACUGCCAUUCAUGCUAGUUAUUAUCCGGUCCUGAAAUGACAAUCCUAUUCCAAAGAUUUUCCGCGCAAUUGUCAGAACGGAAACCUCUUCAGCUCUGAGUUUCACCUUGGAAGAUGGAUAACCAGGAGGAACUUCUAUCAACUCUUCUACAGUCAUUUCCGUUGUAACUUUCUUUGUCGACGUAUGCGCGUUUGCGGCUGCAGACACCGCGGCAUAGUACAUGGACUUGCUGCCGGUUUGGUGAGCUAAGGCUGGAAUCCAAUGCCUCAAAUCAUAGAAAACCAUAUCAGGCUUUAUAGCCCUUAAAAUGGCUUGAACAUGAUCUCGAGUUUGAUCAAAUGCAAUAGCAAGCAAGCUACCUAGCGGUUGAGGAACAUCGGACAUAGUUUCGGCGCCUGGCGGGAUACCAUCUACAUGGGGAACAACAAGAGGAAAGAAUUGAAUAAGAUUCGGAUAGUGGUUAAGUUGUUCCAACUUUGGCUGUGCUCCUUUAGGCAAUAAGAAGGAAACUUGGAGGCCUUUCUCAGCAAGCUUGUUUGAGAGGUGAAGAUAAGGGAUGAAAUGGCCAAAGGCAAACCAAGGAAACAUGGCUACCUGAAGCUUGGUGGAGUUGGAGUUUCUCAUCUUUGUUUGAGAUUCUGCCUAAAAAUCGAGGAAGAAUGAAAGAAGACGUAUGUGUCUACCAUCCAAAUUAUUUAAGACCCUCCUUCACAUCUAUAAACAGCAGUGAUACGGAUAUCAAUAAUUGAGGGAAGAUUUACGAUCCAAAAGCAAUCGUACGGAUACAAUGGUUUUCUUUCUUUUCUUUUUUUAAGAAAAAGCAAAAAAAACCAAAUAAGUUUUUAUAUUUUUGUUGUAUUUAAUUAAGUUUUUACCUUUUAUAUUUAGAUGGCUUUUAAUUAUUCUAUGGGUUUGGCACGUUUAUGAGUUAGACGUCUAAGUCUGCUUGUGGGUCGACUCUUACUGUCAAUGUUGCGACCAUUCCUCCAUCGAAUCUCGAGGAGAUGAGGGAUAUGAAGAAAGAAGUCAUGACUGUGAGAGAUGAGAUAUGGAAUAUGAAAUCAUAUCAAGUAUUGCACAGAUCCUCCAACAUGUGAAGUCCACAGCCCACUUUGAGACUUCAUCACAGCAGUGGGGCCCUUUUAAUAAUUAAGAGGCGAGACUGAGACAACGGCACUAGUUAGAAUGUAAGUUUAUUUAUUUAUAUAUUUUUUAUUGAUUGUAAUAUCAAAUAUUAUAAUUUGUCAUUUUUUAUUUAUUUUUAUAAAAAUCAAAUAUUUUUUAUAAAUAAUAUUUUUUUAAUAUUAUUAUUUAUUUGUAUUUGUAUUAUUCAUUUGAAAUGAUAACAAGAAUGAACAAAACCAAUCAAUUUCAAUUUUCCUAGGAAAAAAUGGUUUCAUAUAUAUUCCACUUUAUUACUAAUGGAUUUACCAAUUGAUAUAGUAGUUUACUGCUGGAAAUAUGUAUAACGUUAGUGACAGAAUAAACUUCACCACUGAUGGAAAUGAAGACAUCAUCGACAAAAACUACAUACAUUUGAACUACUAAGUUUCGUCAGCAUUUUUGUUGAAAUUUCUGUCAGUAAAUUACCGACAAAAUUUGCCAACGAAAUACGAUCAAUAUAGACCAAUCAUCCCUUCAACAGGUUGGAUGUUUUACUGAUUGGGUUUUCGACAAAAUAUUCAAAUAUUGAUGGCAUGCCCUUUACCGGUGAUGAUAUUUUCCACAAAUUUUGAACCUUUGUCAAUGGAAAUUUUUGUUAGUAAAAGUGUUAAAUUUGGUAGUAGACUAACUAUCAUUAGUCCAAAUGUUACUUGAUAUUUCAUGCCACAUGAUGUUAACAUAACAUGUUAACAUGUCAUAAUAGAUGGUCAUAUGAUAUACUGAAAUAACAUAAUGAUAUGGUUAUGUGGUAUUUUUCAUGCUCCAAGUCAAUGCCAUAUGAGUAUAAAAAUUUUAAAAUGAUAUUUUGAUUAAUCGCAGUUAGUCAAUCAUUAAUCAUAAAGGUAUAUUUGAAUUAAAAUAAAAUUAAGAGAAUUUGAUUUAACGUAAUAAAAAAAUAAAAAUUUAUUUAAAAUUUUUUAAUAAUUUAAGAUUUAUUGCUAUUUGGGUUUAGAUCAUAUUAGAGUAUAGUUGGGUAAUAAUUUAUUGCAAUUUGCAAGAGAAAUCUUUCAUUACAAUUUGAGGGAAUCUUGACUUUUGAUCAUAUUCAGAUUUUGUUAUCAAGGAAAAUCUAUCACGCACCAAUUAUUUGAGAAACCACUAACUUUGUUUAUUUAUUUAUUGUAUGGAGCAAUUAGCAAUGAAUUCAUGCACUUAUGGACUUUUGAGGGAUUGGAUGAGGUGAGAUUCAUAAAGAAAAAUGAGAAUAUGAUGGAGUAGAUUUAAUUUGUUUUUCAUCACCUACCGCUAUUCAAAUCAUCUAGAGCCAAGACAUUAGAGGUAAAGAAUAUUGAAGGAAACUUAUUGUAUUAUAUAUGUCAGAUUGGGAUCUGACGAACAUUAAGAAAGCUAGGCACAAAAACCGGUAAAACAGGUUUACUAAACUCGGAUUCUAAAUUGGAUUCGUCUUCUUUUUUAGCAAUUUGGAUCUUAUUUGACCAGAUCUUGCAGACCUUUGAUGAAGGUAUUGAUAUAUUCUUCUUGAAGAUCUUUGUUAGAAAGAAUGUUCUUGAGCUUGGCAUGGUUUCUCUUCAACAGACCAGCUAUUUCAUUGUCCUUGUCCAUCACCAACUUGAUGGCUUUGCUCAAGUUCUCCUUGGAAAUCUCCCUGUUUUCUCCUUUCUGAACUUCAACUGCGACCUCGAGUUCCUCUACCAUUAGUCUGGUGUUCAGAAUUUGAUCUCCUAAGCGGGGAAUCAACACAAUUUGGCAGUCACUGAGCAAAGAUUCCCACAUGGUUCCAUAACCACAGUGAUUCACGAAACACCCAACAGAUGAAUGGCUGAGUAAUAGCUCCUGGGGAACCCAACCACCAUACACCAACCCUCUUCCUUGGAUCCUUUCAUGAAACCCCUCAGGCAAAGCCUCUUCAAUCGUUAUGCAUCCGUCUGGUGGUGUUAAAGCCACCAAGAAAGGUUGCCCUGAUAACUCAAGCCCAAGAACCAACUCUUGAAACUCCCCCUUUUGCAAUGCAAUCUGGCUUCCAAAUGAACAAAACACCACAGAACUUGGCUCAAAGUUGCUUAGCCAAUUAGCCCAUUUGUCUUCAAGCUGUGUGGCAUUUGUUUCAGGUAGGGAAGGCCCUGUUAACAUAACAGGCUUGCCAGAAUGUUGAGCAAUAUAGUCACAGAAAGGUCCUUCAAUUUCACGGUAAGUCCUAAAGGCUAUGACAUCACUGUCUUUCAUGGCAGUUAUUAUCCGGUCCUGAAAUGACAAUCCUAU